rnacentral:rRNA from 1 species
GGUUGUCCCGGUUUAAGCGUGUAGGUGUGUGUUCCAGGUAAAUCCGGUUCACUUUAACACUGAGGCGUGAUGACGAGGCACUACGGUGCUGAAGCAACAAAUGCCCUGCUUCCAGGAAAAGCCUCUAAGCAUCAGGUAACAUCAAAUCGUACCCCAAACCGACACAGGUGGUCAGGUAGAGAAUACCAAGGCGCUUGAGAGAACUCGGGUGAAGGAACUAGGCAAAAUGGUGCCGUAACUUCGGGAGAAGGCACGCUGACACGUAGGUGAAGUGAUUUACUCAUGGAGCUGAAGUCAGUCGAAGAUACCAGCUGGCUGCAACUGUUUAUUAAAAACACAGCACUGUGCAAACACGAAAGUGGACGUAUACGGUGUGACGCCUGCCCGGUGCCGGAAGGUUAAUUGAUGGGGUCAGCGCAAGCGAAGCUCCUGAUCGAAGCCCCGGUAAACGGCGGCCGUAACUAUAACGGUCCUAAGGUAGCGAAAUUCCUUGUCGGGUAAGUUCCGACCUGCACGAAUGGCGUAAUGAUGGCCAGGCUGUCUCCACCCGAGACUCAGUGAAAUUGAACUCGCUGUGAAGAUGCAGUGUACCCGCGGCAAGACGGAAAGACCCCGUGAACCUUUACUAUAGCUUGACACUGAACAUUGAGCCUUGAUGUGUAGGAUAGGUGGGAGGCUUUGAAGUGUGGACGCCAGUCUGCAUGGAGCCGACCUUGAAAUACCACCCUUUAAUGUUUGAUGUUCUAACGUGGACCCGUAAUCCGGGUUGCGGACAGUGUCUGGUGGGUAGUUUGACUGGGGCGGUCUCCUCCUAAAGAGUAACGGAGGAGCACGAAGGUUGGCUAAUCCUGGUCGGACAUCAGGAGGUUAGUGCAAUGGCAUAAGCCAGCUUGACUGCGAGCGUGACGGCGCGAGCAGGUGCGAAAGCAGGUCAUAGUGAUCCGGUGGUUCUGAAUGGAAGGGCCAUCGCUCAACGGAUAAAAGGUACUCCGGGGAUAACAGGCUGAUACCGCCCAAGAGUUCAUAUCGACGGCGGUGUUUGGCACCUCGAUGUCGGCUCAUCACAUCCUGGGGCUGAAGUAGGUCCCAAGGGUAUGGCUGUUCGCCAUUUAAAGUGGUACGCGAGCUGGGUUUAGAACGUCGUGAGACAGUUCGGUCCCUAUCUGCCGUGGGCGCUGGAGAACUGAGGGGGGCUGCUCCUAGUACGAGAGGACCGGAGUGGACGCAUCACUGGUGUUCGGGUUGUCAUGCCAAUGGCACUGCCCGGUAGCUAAAUGCGGAAGAGAUAAGUGCUGAAAGCAUCUAAGCACGAAACUUGCCCCGA